rnacentral:rRNA from 1 species
UGGGUGGUGUUGCUGUCCCUCUCGGGGGAAUCGUGCACGCCUUACCUUAUUUGUUUUUCCACCUGUGCACACACUGUAGGUCUGGAGUGGAAGGGAGGCAACUCCCUAACGUUUCAGGUCCUAUGUAUUUACACAUACACUAUUAAAAGUAACAGAACGAUUCAAUGGGCUCUAAGCCUAUAAACUAUAUACAACUUUCAGCAACGGAUCUCUUGGCUCUCGCAUCGAUGAAGAACGCAGCGAAAUGCGAUAAGUAAUGUGAAUUGCAGAAUUCAGUGAAUCAUCGAAUCUUUGAACGCACCUUGCGCUCGUUGGUAUUCCGACGAGCAUGCCUGUUUGAGUGUCAUUAAAUUCUCAACCUCAUCGCUUUUGUGAUGAUGGCUUGGAUGUGGAGGUUUUCUGCAGGCCGAAAGGUCUGCUCCUCUCAAAUGAAUUAGUGGGUGCCCCGUGCAAACCUAUCUAUUGGUGUGAUAAUUAUCUACGCCGUGGAUCUUAGGAUUGCUGUAAAAAGGUGUUUGCCCUGCUUCUAACCGUCUUCGGACAACUUGAACCAUUUGACCUCAAAUCAGGUAGGACUACCCGCUGAACUUAAGCAUAUCAAUAAGCGGAGGAAAAGAAACUAACAAGGAUUCCCCUAGUAACUGCGAGUGAAGCGGGAAAAGCUCAAAUUUAAAAUCUGGCAGUCUUUGAUUGUCCGAGUUGUAAUCUAGAGAAGCAUUAUCCGCGCUGGACCGUGUACAAGUCUCCUGGAAUGGAGCGUCAUAGAGGGUGAGAAUCCCGUCUUUGACACGGACUGCCAGGGCUUUGUGAUGUGCUCUCAAAGAGUCGAGUUGUUUGGGAAUGCAGCUCAAAAUGGGUGGUAAAUUCCAUCUAAAGCUAAAUAUUGGCGAGAGACCGAUAGCGAACAAGUACCGUGAGGGAAAGAUGAAAAGAACUUUGGAAAGAGAGUUAAACAGUACGUGAAAUUGCUGAAAGGGAAACGCUUGAAGUCAGUCGCGUUGUCCGGGAAUCAACCUUGCUUUUGCUGGGCGUACUUCCUGGUUAACGGGUCAGCAUCAAUUUUGACCGUUGGAUAAAGUUGUUGGGAAUGUGGCUUCUUCGGAAGUGUUAUAGCCCAGUUUCGCAUACAACGGUUGGGAUUGAGGAACUCAGCACGCCGAAAGGCCGGGUUUUUAACCACGUUCGUGCUUAGGAUGCUGGCAAAAUGGCUUUAAUCGACCCGUCUUGAAACACGGACCAAGGAGUCUAACAUGCCUGCGAGUGUUUGGGUGGAAAACCCGAGCGCGUAAUGAAAGUGAAAGUUGAGAUCCCUGUCGUGGGGAGCAUCGACGCCCGGACUUGAACUUCUGUGACGGAUCCGCGGUAGAGCAUGUAUGUUGGGACCCGAAAGAUGGUGAACUAUGCCUGAAUAGGGUGAAGCCAGAGGAAACUCUGGUGGAGGCUCGUAGCGAUUCUGACGUGCAAAUCGAUCGUCAAAUUUGGGUAUAGGGGCAAAGACAAUCGACCU